rnacentral:rRNA from 1 species
GACGAACGCUGGCGGCGUGCUUAACACAUGCAAGUCGAACGGUGAAGCUCCAGCUUGCUGGAGUGGAUCAGUGGCGAACGGGUGAGUAACACGUGAGCAACCUGCCCCUGACUCUGGAAUAAGCGCUGGAAACGGCGUCUAAUACUGGAUACGAGAAGGGUCCGCAUGGGCACUUUCUGGAAUGUUUUUCGGUUGGGGAUGGGCUCGCGGCCUAUCAGCUUGUUGGUGAGGUAAUGGCUCACCAAGGCGACGACGGGUAGCCGGCCUGAGAGGGCGACCGGCCACACUGGGACUGAGACACGGCCCAGACUCCUACGGGAGGCAGCAGUGGGGAAUAUUGCACAAUGGGCGAAAGCCUGAUGCAGCGACGCCGCGUGAGGGAUGACGGCCUUCGGGUUGUAAACCUCUUUCAGCAGGGAAGAAGCGAAAGUGACGGUACCUGCAGAAGAAGCACCGGCUAACUACGUG